UGUAAUUUUUUUGAGCUUUAUGCCGACUAUCAUAAGUAGAGCCUUUUGUUCUAUGGAUAGGAAAGUUUACGCUUUUUUUUAUAGCUUCGGCUUUUAGCGAUUUAUUCGCAUAAAAUUCUAUAUAGAAUACAGAUAAUGACUAUUUUCUAUAUACAAGUCUUGACUAAAACACGUGCCAGCAGUCGCGGUAACACGAGACAGACUAGUGUUAUUCAUCUUUAAUAGGUUUAAAGGGUACGUAGGCGGUAAAAUAGCUUUUUAAAACAACUUUUUACUAGAGUUUUAUAUAAGAGGAGUUUAGUACUAACAGAGUAGAGAUGAAAUUCUUUGAUACUGUAGGGCACUGGUAAAGGCGAAGGCAGACCUUUAUGUAAAUACUGACGUUGAGGGACGAAGGCUAGGGUAACAAACAGGAUUAGGUACCCUAAUAGUCCUUGCAGAGACUGAUGAGUGUCAUAGGUCAGAAAAAUUCUUAAGGUCAUAAUUUAUUAUUGCUCAUUAAUAAGAGAAUUAAGAAAGAAUAAAAAAAUUUUUGGUUUAUAAAUGAAAGUGUAAGCACUCCACCUUAAGAGUAAUACGGCUACGUAGGAACUAAAAUCAUUAGACCGUUUCUGAUACCAGUAGUGAAGUAUGUUGUUCAAUUCGAUAACCCGCGAAAAACCUUACCACGAUUUGAAUAUUAUAUCACCUUUUGUAAAGUAAUUUAACAAGUAUUGUUAAAUUAUGAAAGUGGUAUAUUACAGGUGUUGCAUGGCUGUCUUCAGUUGAUGUCGUGAGAUGUUGGUUAGAUCCUAAGAAUCAACGUAUAACCCUUAUUUUAUUUUGUAUAAAUAGAGUAGUUUCGCCGCGAAAUGGUUGAUAACUGGGACCAAGACAAGUCCUCAUGGCCCG
rnacentral:rRNA from 1 species